rnacentral:rRNA from 1 species
CAGUAGCCGCGGUAAAACGUAGGUGGCAAGCGUUGUCCGGAAUUAUUGGGCGUAAAGGGCUCGCAGGCGGUUUCUUAAGUCUGAUGUGAAAGCCCCCGGCUCAACCGGGGAGGGUCAUUGGAAACUGGGAAACUUGAGUGCAGAAGAGGAGAGUGGAAUUCCACGUGUAGCGGUGAAAUGCGUAGAGAUGCGGAGGAACACCAGUGGCGAAGGCGACUCUCUGGUCUGUAACUGACGCUGAGGAGCGAAAGCGUGGGGAGCGAACAGGAUUAGAUACCCCCGUAGUCCCUGUCUCUUAUAA